GUGCGACCUUCAAUUGCAAAAUCUGUAGACUACAGUGGAGACACCUACGUCGGCAACUGUGGCAAGUCUCUGAGAGAGGACGUCGCUCUGACCCGACAUAAUGUUGAUGAAACGCUUUCCAGCAUGUUUAAAAUUCAGUCACAAGAAGAAUGUAGACAUGGCGGUUCAGUGGCAACGACAAGUACUUGUUGGGCAAUCCAUGGAAAUUUCCUCGAAAGUGUACAGAAGAACAAUGGAGCUUCUAUGUGAUGUGCUAAUUGUGUCAGUGACCAUUGUUAUAAUAAUGGGAACAGUUGAGAAGGUACUCUGGGGAAAAAAAUUUGUCUUAGCCUUCUUGAAGGGAAGACGUGUGUUAGGGUCUAUGUUGAGACUGGACAUGGUGUUUAAGCCAACUUUUCUUUUAUAUGUAAAUUAGUUUGUUUCUAAUGUUUGGAGACACGUGAGCCUUACGAAGCAGUAUAUAUUUAUAUGAAGAGUGAGAUUUGUAAUGUGUCUGUCUGAAGUUCAAAUAUAUCGUUAGUUAAAGCAAAUGAAAUUGGUAUGUCUACUUAUUUUUAUAAGUAGAGAGAGUCUUAAGAAAUUCCUGUACCUACCAACAUACUUUGGAGAAGAAAGUGAAAGAGAGUUUGCAGCAGCAGGCUUACUAGCAAGGAAAGUCGGGCGAGCAUGUCAUGUAAAUCAUCUCAUAAAAGAAGUGGGAGUUAGUAUAUUUACUUUGAACUUAAAUUGUCAUCCAAAGCCAUUAGAACCUGGUGACCAGUGAGAAAGGACUGAAAAAACAGGAAUUCUAAGACCAAACAACUGAGAAUAAGCUGUUGUGUGUUGCCAUACCAAAUAAACCAAAUACGACGAAGAAUCUACUACGAGACAACGGAACAUGCUCAAGUAUAAAAAGGAACAAAAUUUUGAAUUGAGAAAUAGAGAAGAAGAUUCCAGUGUGUUUCUCCAAGAAUAAAUUUGCCUAGAACACUUCAAUUAAGAAGAUCCAGUGCGGGGAAUGUAGAGCUCUCAUAUACAUCAUGGGGAUGCAGACGCGGAAACCAACAUCCAACGCCUCCGGCACCAGUUGCAGUUCACCGGUGCAGACCCGCCUCCACAUACUGAUGCAGUGCAAAUUAUCCACCAGGAUGGGCCACCGCCACACUGGCAUCUGGAAGAGUGGGAAUUUUUAAAUCAAAGGAUUGCUGGACAAUGAAUUGGUGGCACUGGAACAAAUGAAUCAGCAUCACAUUACUGGCCUUCAACGUCACCGGAUCUGACUGGAUGUGAUUGUUUCUGAGGGUUUAUAAUAACUGUUUAUGUGCCUCUGAUACCAACAACAAUGAAUGAACUGAGACAUUGUAUAACAGCAGCAGUUGAAUCUGUAACUCAAGACAGGCUCACUGCAGUGCAGGAACAGUUUGAAUACCACAUUGACAUAUGCCGUGCAUCU